GGUAAGACCAGUUUCCAACCUGCUAUAGUACUGGUUUAAUAUGGUUUAGAUUAUUUUAUUAGCAUUGUUUACUUUUAUUAUAUAUCUAAGUAGUACCAGAAUACUAUUACAGUUUGUUUCAUUUCUUCUAUGGUUAUAACUGUAUCUAUUUAUAUGAUUUAUAUACCUGAUUUAGUUUUAGUUUCAGAUUUUAUCAAUACACUAUUUUUAGGUACGGUUUAACUGAUGUUUUAUUUUAAAAAUAGGACAAAAUGUCCUAUUCAUUUUGAUAAAAUGUCUACAACCCACAUAGAUACCUAGGGACAAUCAUAAUAGAAAAACUCAAAAGCCCAAUUAAAAGAAAAUCACUUUGAUUAUAUAACCCAUAGCCAUCAAGAAAUUAAUCAAUUAAUUGGGUUAACUUUUUAAAAAUAUUACAAUCAGAAAAAAUAGUACAACAGUUCACCCUUAUCCACAGUUUUACUUUCUGCUGUUUCAGCUACCUGAGGAACGUUGCAGUCCAAAAAUACUAAACAGAAAAUUCCAA
rnacentral:lncRNA from 10 species